rnacentral:rRNA from 1 species
UGGGGUGCUCGAGUGGCGAACGGGUGAGUAACACGUGAGUAACCUGCCCUUGACUUUGGGAUAACUUCAGGAAACUGGGGCUAAUACCGGAUAGGAGCUCCUGCUGCAUGGUGGGGGUUGGAAAGUUUCGGCGGUUGGGGAUUGACUCGCGGCUUAUCAGCUUGUUGGUGGGGUAGUGGCUUACCAAGGCUUUGACGGGUAGCCGGCCUGAGAGGGUGACCGGCCACAUUGGGACUGAGAUACGGCCCAG